UACAGAGGUGGCAAGCGUUGUUCGGAAUUAUUGGGCGUAAAGGGCGCGUAGGCGGCCUGGCAAGUGGAAGGUGAAAUCCCUCGGCUUAACCGAGGAACUGCCCUCCAAACUGCUUGGCUUGAGACCGGGAGAGGUGAGUGGAAUUCCCAGUGUAGCGGUGAAAUGCGUAGAUAUUGGGAGGAACACCAGUGGCGAAGGCGGCUCACUGGACCGGUACUGACGCUGAGGCGCGAAAGCGUGGGGAGCAAACGGG
rnacentral:rRNA from 1 species